AUUGAACGCUGGCGGCAUGCCUUACACAUGCAAGUCGAACGGCAGCACGGGAGCUUGCUCCUGGUGGCGAGUGGCGAACGGGUGAGUAAUACAUCGGAACGUACCCUGAAGUGGGGGAUAACGUAGCGAAAGUUACGCUAAUACCGCAUAUUCUGUGAGCAGGAAAGAGGGGGAUCGCAAGACCUCUUGCUUUAGGAGCGGCCGAUGUCGGAUUAGCUAGUUGGUGAGGUAAAGGCUCACCAAGGCGACGAUCCGUAGCGGGUCUGAGAGGAUGAUCCGCCACACUGGGACUGAGACACGGCCCAGACUCCUACGGGAGGCAGCAGUGGGGAAUUUUGGACAAUGGGCGCAAGCCUGAUCCAGCCAUGCCGCGUGAGUGAAGAAGGCCUUCGGGUUGUAAAGCUCUUCGUGGGAGAAUAGCUCGGUUAAUACCUGGAGUAGAUGACGGUACCC
rnacentral:rRNA from 1 species